AUUGAACGCUGGCGGCAUGCCUUACACAUGCAAGUCGAACGGCAGCACGGGUGCUUGCACCUGGUGGCGAGUGGCGAACGGGUGAGUAAUAUAUCGGAACGUGCCCUAGAGUGGGGGAUAACUAGUCGAAAGAUUAGCUAAUACCGCAUACGAUCUACGGAUGAAAGUGGGGGAUCGCAAGACCUCAUGCUCCUGGAGCGGCCGAUAUCAGAUUAGGUAGUUGGUGGGGUAAAGGCUCACCAAGCCAACGAUCUGUAGCUGGUCUGAGAGGACGACCAGCCACACUGGAACUGAGACACGGUCCAGACUCCUACGGGAGGCAGCAGUGGGGAAUUUUGGACAAUGGACGCAAGUCUGAUCCAGCCAUUCCGCGUGCAGGAUGAAGGCCCUCGGGUUGUAAACUGCUUUUGUACGGAACGAAAAGGUUUCUAUUAAUACUAGGAGCUCAUGACGGUACCGUAAGAAUAAGCACCGGCUAACUACGUGCCAG
rnacentral:rRNA from 1 species